UGUAACUUCCUCCCUCUUUCUUGGAAUGCAUAAAGGAGUGUGAGCACGACUUCUGUGGCAGAGCUGGCAUGACUGUGAACUGUGAUGUUUGAUGUGUGUUGGCUCUCCUGCGCGCAGUAAUAAAUAGUUUGUUCACAGCUCUUUCUGUGUUGCAGACUUUAUUUACAAAAUUCCACGACACCCCCCACCCUCCCACUGUGAACAUGAAUUGAAUAUUCAGAAGACAUUUGUUUAAAUACUUCUAGAAAUCUGAGCUGUUGGUGUGUCCUUGGAUUGUGUGGUAAUAAUAUUAGAGCUGGCAAUCUUUCCUACUGAAUCUCUACUCUGAGUCAUGUUACCUGAGAUUAAUUCUAUGUUUACCUGUCAGCCUGGACAAAUGUGCUGUGUGAAGGAUGUAAAUCAAAUCAGAUCUUAACUGCUUACAUUUAAGGAGCCUGGUCAUAUUUAAUUGUAAUAUGAACCAAUGAUUUUCUGAUUGCUGAUUCUAACAGAGUCUUUGUGGAAAUUUGGCUUUUUGUCAUUUUAAUUCUCUUUUCUGUUUUCCAGAACAGUUCUCCACAGUCACUGUCCACAUGGGUCAGUGGGACCAAGCAGCACUCCGCUAAUGUGAGACUCUGACCAGCAACAUCCAGCAAGACCCAGACAGCGUUUUCUAUCUCCCAGCUGGUGUUUUUUUGUUUGUCUGUGACUGGAGAGUCAGAUUUUUGUUGAGGCUGGAGGAACAGCCUCACACUUGCAGAGGUUAAUACACGCUACUGAUCCCUGAUGGGAGAAUCAUCACCUCUGCCAACAAAGAAGCCUGGUGGAUGUUUGUUUACAGUCUGAUGAUGGGACAUCAUGCUCUGCAUCUUCAAUUCUUUUUGCAGGAUCAGAAAACAAAACCAGGAGGCGCGUAAAUGUUUCUUCUCCAAUUGGAUGAUGAUAAGACUGUGACACGGGAUGCCACCUUUAGUCUUGUGAUGAAGCAAAGCUCAGGAAGAAGUGUGAUUAAAUGGUACCCACAUGUGUGCUGCUGAGAAGGAUGUACAGGGGCACCUGCAGCCAAAUCCAAGCCUCCUCAG